rnacentral:rRNA from 1 species
GACGAACGCUGGCGGCGUGCUUAACACAUGCAAGUCGAACGGAAAGGCCCUGCUUUUGUGGGGUGCUCGAGUGGCGAACGGGUGAGUAACACGUGAGUAACCUGCCCUUGACUUUGGGAUAACUUCAGGAAACUGGGGCUAAUACCGGAUAGGAGCUCCUGCUGCAUGGUGGGGGUUGGAAAGUUUCGGCGGUUGGGGAUGGACUCGCGGCUUAUCAGCUUGUUGGUGGGGUAGUGGCUUACCAAGGCUUUGACGGGUAGCCGGCCUGAGAGGGUGACCGGCCACAUUGGGACUGAGAUACGGCCCAGACUCCUACGGGAGGCAGCAGUGGGGAAUAUUGCACAAUGGGCGGAAGCCUGAUGCAGCAACGCCGCGUGCGGGAUGACGGCCUUCGGGUUGUAAACCGCUUUCGCCUGUGACGAAGCGUGAGUGACGGUAAUGGGUAAAGAAGCACCGGCGAACUACGG